rnacentral:rRNA from 1 species
ACCCCACUAUGCCUAGCCCUAAACAUUGAUACUAACCUACUUAUUUUUAUCCGCCAGGGUACUACGAGCAUCAGCUUAAAACCCAAAGGACUUGGCGGUGCUUUAGAUCCACCUAGAGGAGCCUGUUCUAGAACCGAUAAUCCCCGUUAAACCUCACCUUUUCUUGCCAUGUCCGCCUAUAUACCGCCGUCGUCAGCUUACUCUGUGAGGAACUUGUCGUAAGCACAACCGGCAAAGCCCAAAACGUCAGGUCGAGGUGUAGCGAAUGGAAAGGGAAGAAAUGGGCUACAUUCAAUAGUUAUAAUGAAUACGAAUGAUGUCUUGAAACAGACAUCUGAAGGAGGAUUUAGCAGUAAGCAGAGAAUAGAGCGCCCUGCUGAAAUUGGCCCUGAAGCGCGUACACACCGGCCGUCACUCUUCCCGAGCUAAUAAAGACAAAUUACUAAUAAACAAAACCUGCAAAGGGGAGGCAAGUCGUAACAUGGUAAGCGUACCGGAAGGUGCGCUUGG